ACAGCAGUAGCCGCGGGAACACGAAGGGUGCAAGCGUUACUCGGAAUUACUGGGCGUAAAGCGUGCGUAGGUGGUGGUUUAAGUCCGUUGUGAAAGCCCUGGGCUCAACCUGGGAAUUGCAGUGGAUACUGGGUCACUAGAGUGUGGUAGAGGAUAGUGGAAUUUCCGGUGUAGCGGUGAAAUGCGUAGAGAUUUGGAGGAAUACCGAUGGCGAAGGCAGCCAUCUGGCCUAAUACUGACGCUGAGGUACGAAAGCAUGGGGAGCAAACAGGAUUAGAUACCCCCGUAGUCCCUGUCUCUUAUAC
rnacentral:rRNA from 1 species